GCUCUGGAAAGUGCGGCCAUAGUGGGUGAUAGCCCCGUACGCGAAAGGAUCUUUGAAGUGAAAUCGAGUAGGACGGAGCACGAGAAACUUUGUCUGAACAUGGGGGGACCAUCCUCCAAGGCUAAAUACUACUGACUGACCGAUAGUGAACCAGUACCGUGAGGGAAAGGCGAAAAGAACCCCGGAGAGGGGAGUGAAAUAGAACCUGAAACCGUAUGCGUACAAGCAGUGGGAGCCUACUUGUUAGGUGACUGCGUACCUUUUGUAUAAUGGGUCAGCGACUUAUAUUCAGUGGCAAGCUUAACCGUAUAGGGUAGGCGUAGCGAAAGCGAGUCUUAAUAGGGCGUUUAGUCGCUGGGUAUAGACCCGAAACCGGGCGAUCUAUCCAUGAGCAGGUUGAAGGUUAGGUAACACUGACUGGAGGACCGAACCCACUCCCGUUGAAAAGGUAGGGGAUGACUUGUGGAUCGGAGUGAAAGGCUAAUCAAGCUCGGAGAUAGCUGGUUCUCCUCGAAAGCUAUUUAGGUAGCGCCUCAUGUAUCACUCUGGGGGGUAGAGCACUGUUUCGGCUAGGGGGUCAUCCCGACUUACCAAACCGAUGCAAACUCCGAAUACCCAGAAGUGCCGAGCAUGGGAGACACACGGCGGGUGCUAACGUCCGUCGUGAAAAGGGAAACAACCCAGACCGCCAGCUAAGGUCCCAAAGUUGUGGUUAAGUGGUAAACGAUGUGGGAAGGCUUAGACAGCUAGGAGGUUGGCUUAGAAGCAGCCACCCUUUAAAGAAAGCGUAAUAGCUCACUAGUCGAGUCGGCCUGCGCGGAAGAUGUAACGGGGCUCAAACCACACACCGAAGCUGCGGGUGUCACGUAAGUGACGCGGUAGAGGAGCGUUCUGUAAGCCUGUGAAGGUGAGUUGAGAAGCUUGCUGGAGGUAUCAGAAGUGCGAAUGCUGACAUGAGUAACGACAAUGGGUGUGAAAAACACCCACGCCGAAAGACCAAGGGUUCCUGCGCAACGUUAAUCGACGCAGGGUUAGUCGGUUCCUAAGGCGAGGCUGAAAAGCGUAGUCGAUGGGAAACAGGUUAAUAUUCCUGUACUUCUGGUUACUGCGAUGGAGGGACGGAGAAGGCUAGGCCAGCUUGGCGUUGGUUGUCCAAGUUUAAGGUGGUAGGCUGAAAUCUUAGGUAAAUCCGGGGUUUCAAGGCCGAGAGCUGAUGACGAGUCGUCUUUUAGAUGACGAAGUGGUUGAUGCCAUGCUUCCAAGAAAAGCUUCUAAGCUUCAGGUAACCAGGAACCGUACCCCAAACCGACACAGGUGGUCGGGUAGAGAAUACCAAGGCGCUUGAGAGAACUCGGGUGAAGGAACUAGGCAAAAUGGCACCGUAACUUCGGGAGAAGGUGCGCCGGCUAGGGUGAAGGAUUUACUCCGUAAGCUCUGGCUGGUCGAAGAUACCAGGCCGCUGCGACUGUUUAUUAAAAACACAGCACUCUGCAAACACGAAAGUGGACGUAUAGGGUGUGACGCCUGCCCGGUGCCGGAAGGUUAAUUGAUGGGGUUAGCGCAAGCGAAGCUCUUGAUCGAAGCCCCGGUAAACGGCGGCCGUAACUAUAACGGUCCUAAGGUAGCGAAAUUCCUUGUCGGGUAAGUUCCGACCUGCACGAAUGGCGUAACGAUGGCGGCGCUGUCUCCACCCGAGACUCAGUGAAAUUGAAAUCGCUGUGAAGAUGCAGUGUAUCCGCGGCUAGACGGAAAGACCCCGUGAACCUUUACUGUAGCUUUGCACUGGACUUUGAGCCUGCUUGUGUAGGAUAGGUGGGAGGCUUUGAAGCGUGGACGCCAGUUCGCGUGGAGCCAUCCUUGAAAUACCACCCUGGCAUGCUU
rnacentral:rRNA from 1 species